CGUAUAUUAAAGUUGUUGCGGUUAAAAAGCUCGUAGUUGGAUUUCUUCCAGGGGCAGUCGGUCCACACUAUGUGUGCGUAUCUGAUUUGACUUUGGAAUCCUCUUGGGGAACAUUUGUGCGCUUCAUUGCGUGCUAUGGUAUUCAAGACUUUUACUUUGAGGAAAUUAGAGUGUUCACGGCAGGCAAUCGCCCUGAAUACAUUAGCAUGGAAUAAUAAUAUAGGACUUUGGUUCUAUUUUGUUGGUUUCUAGAGCUAAAGUAAUGAUUAAUAGGGACACUUGGGGGCAUUCGUAUUAUCACGUCAGAGGUGGAAUUCUUGGAUUGUGUUACGACGAACUACUGCGAAAGCAUUUGCCAAGGAUGUUUUCAUUGAUCAAGAACGAAAGUAAGGGGAUCGAAGACGCUUAGAUACCGUCGUAGUCUUUACCAUAAACUAUGCCAACUAGGGAUUGGAGGGCGUUCUUCAUUCGACUCCUUCAGCACCUUAUGAGAAAUCAAAGUUUUUGGGUUCCGGGGGGAGUAUGGUCGCAAGGCUGGAACUUAAAG
rnacentral:rRNA from 1 species